ensembl:lncRNA
ACCUCCCACAUGAAAUGAUCCUUUUAGAGGGAACUCAGUAUGUCUCAAUCUGCACUUCACUCAAAGCCUCUGGGUACCGGCCACUCACUGGUUCUGGCUCCAAAAUAACUCAGCAGAAACGAGUUUCCAACUAAAAAUCCCCUCGAAUGUCUCCCAGGGAAGAAAUAUAGCUCCUAUAAUUAAAGGAGGCAACGGCCGGAGGGGGAAUGCAGCCAGCAGCCAAAAAAAAAAGAGUGGUGACUGAAGAGUUGCUGGAACGAUCAAGCAAUGAAAAAGAUGCCCCACAGAAAGUGAUCUGCCUUUAUUCUACUUUGCUUAUCGAGACAGUAAAAAAGAAAGCCAAACAGGGACCUGCGCGGAAACGCACAGGUGGAAUGCCCAAGAAAGAACACAUAUACCCUAUGGGUGGAUAUGCAUGUUUAUGAGACAUCAAGGCCUCCCAACUCCAAAGUUACCAGAGCACAGGCUGUUGCAUAAUUUCAGAUGGCAUGGAGAGUCUCACUGAUGAAAUCCGAGAAGGCUCAUGUCAGACCACUGACUGCUAAAGACAUCACUACAUGAAAGAUCAGUGGUGUGAAACUUUAAAAACAUCGAUCCAAAUGAAUCAAUUAAAUCAACAUUCACCCUUCCUAAGUGUGAGGUUUAAAACUAUCAUUGUUGCUUUUUUUUUUUUUUAACCCUACAUAGAUUUCAAGAUAAAUGCUGGAAUGCUUUGAUGACUGCUUCUAUUCUUAAAACUCAGUUAAUCGACUUUGUGCUAUUUCUUCCUUUUCAACAUCUUCCACUUGGUGUACAUUCUUUACUUUGGUACAGUGCGUGACAGUUGCAAUGCUUUAAAUCUCAACCCGCCUAACAAAGCUGAUGCUUUAGGUAGGGUAGCUUUAAGCUCUGUGAAGUGUUGAUUAAAAACCCUUUCUCAGACUCAAACUGAUCUUUUUGGAGAUUAAUAGAAUAUUAGAUAAAAGGAAGACGAACAAUUCAAGAGACUCCCACUCAGUCAUUCUAUACAAGGAAGGAAGGAAAGUAUUCAAUUUUUGAAAGGGAGUACCUCCUGGCGUCUUUUAUUUUAUAUUAUUACAGUCCCCAAUAAGUAAUCAUAAAAUCACCAUCACUAUCAUCUCCCCCUUUGCCACCCAUAUUUCAAAGAUGAGAAUGUCUCACAGUUAUUUAAAGAUUUUUUUUUCCCACAGAAUCAUGGGGAAAGUUUUUGAGAAUUUUUACACUUGCUGUAAGAGUAAUCCUUCUUAAAUGAAUGAGAAGCAUAGCCACUAAGAGAAACCUAUCAGUUCACAGUAAAAACUGUGAUUUAACAAGAGGCAUCACACAUGUUUGGACUGGAGCUCCAGAUAAUCCGGAGAAAAAUGAAAAAAUAACCUAUCCUAUUAGCAGUGAUAAUAUAGUUAAUGCAAGUAGUCAUCCACACCCUCUGAAAGGAAUUAAAAAUUUUAAAGGAAGGAACAGUUAUAAAAGAAAUGUAAACAAGUUGAUUUCAGAUUGGAUACAGUACAUUAAGGACCUACAUAUAAGAGUUUGGGAGCAAUUACAUCUCACUAGACUUGCUUUAGAAAAUAUAUUUACCUAUUGAUGAUGUGCUGUUGAAAUUUCCUUGCUAAGGAGACAGUUAGGCAUUAAAAACAAAUUCCUUAAAAUGGUAGCUUUGUGAAAAGUGUGAGCCAAAUUGUGACUAAGUUGAAGUUUGGAUAUUACCUUACAGCAAUAAUAAAAGAAAUAACAAAUAAAGCUUAAAAGUUGAUGAAUGCUGU